AACGAACGCUGGCGGCAGGCCUAACACAUGCAAGUCGAGCGCACCCUUCGGGGCGAGCGGCGGACGGGUUAGUAACGCGUGGGAACGUACCCUUUUCUAUGGAAUAGCCUCGGGAAACUGAGAGUAAUACCAUAUAAGCCCUUCGGGGAAAGGAUUAUCGGGAAGGAUCGGCCCGCGUUAGAUUAGAUAGUUGGUGGGGUAAGUGGCCUACCAAGUCUACGAUCUAUAGCUGGUUUUAGAGGAUGAUCAGCAACACUGGGACUGAGACACGGCCCAGACUCCUACGGGAGGCAGCAGUGGGGAAUCUUAGACAAUGGGCGCAAGCCUGAUCUAGCCAUGCCGCGUGUGUGAUGAAGGUCUUAGGAUCGUAAAGCACUUUCGCCAGGGAGUGAUAAUGACAGUACCUGGUAAAGAAACCCGGCUAACUCCGUGCCAGCAGCCGCGGUAAAGUCACAUGU
rnacentral:rRNA from 1 species